CAGAGCUUAUACAGAGCAUACUGACAGCUUAUACAGAGCAUAUACUGAGUGCAGAGCUUAUACAGAGCAUACUGACAGACCGCUUAUACAGAGCAUAUACUGAGUGCAGAGCUUAUACAGAGCUUAUACUGAGUGCAAAGCUUAUACAGAGUUUAUACUGAGUGCAGAGCUUAUACAGAGCACACAGAUAUCCAGAACCAGCAGAGCUCCCAUGGCUCCCCCGGUCAGUGUUGUGGUGGUGGUGGUGGUGGUUCUCGGCGCUGUGCUGCACACGGUGAUGUCCUCGUGCCCUGCCCAGUGUCAGUGCUCCGCGGCCAGGUGCGCUCCGGGAGUGGGAUUGGUACUGGACGGCUGCGGCUGCUGCAAAGUCUGCGCCAAACAGCUCAAUGAGGACUGCAGCCAGAGCCAACCAUGCGACCACACCAAGGGACUGGAGUGCAACUUUGGGGCCAGUGCCAGGGCCACCAGGGGCAUCUGUAGGGCAAAAUCUGAAGGCAGACCUUGUGAAUAUAAUUCUAGAAUUUACCAAAAUGGGGAAAGUUUUCAGCCAAACUGCAAGCACCAGUGCACAUGUAUAGACGGAGCAGUAGGGUGCCUUCCUCUCUGCCCACAAGAACUUUCACUGCCCAACCUAGGUUGCCCAAACCCACGACUGGUGAAGGUGCCUGGCCAGUGCUGUGAGGAAUGGGUGUGUGAUGACCUGGAAGAUUUAUUUAACAAAGAAUUUGGAUUGGAUACUAAUGAGGGCGAUCUCACUAGCAAGAAUGAGCUGGUGGCCGUGGUGAAAGGAGGAUUGAAAAUGCUACCUGUUUUUGGAUCUGUCCCACAGAGCCAUAUGGUUGAGAACCAGAAGUGCAUAGUUCAAACCACAUCGUGGUCUCAGUGUUCGAAGACUUGCGGAAGUGGAAUUUCCACAAGAGUCACCAAUGAUAACAGCAACUGCAGGCUGGUGAGGGAAACCCGAAUCUGUGAGGUUCGGCCGUGUGGGCAACCAAGUUACAGCAGUUUAAAGAAGGGAAAGAAAUGCACAAAAACAAAGAAAUCUCACGCUCCAGUAAGAUACACAUACGCUGGUUGCUCCAGUGUUAAGAAAUACCGUCCUAAAUAUUGUGGAUCUUGUGUGGAUGGAAGGUGCUGCGCCCCUCAGCAGACCAGGACUGUAAAGAUCAGGUUCCACUGUAAUGAUGGAGAAACCUUCACCAAAAACGUCAUGAUGAUCCAGUCUUGCAGAUGUAAUUACAACUGUCCUCAUACAAACGAGGCGUAUCCGUACUACAGAUUAUACAAUGAUAUCCACAAAUUCCGAGAUUAAGUAAAACUAACAAAUGAACAGUUGCCUAAACUUGAGAAAAACAUAUAGGGAAUUUUUACUGUUGUGAAAACAUUGGUCUUCUGUGGUGGCCCUUCCUGGAUAGUUUGAGGUGGCCCUUCCUGGACAGUUUGUGGUGGCCCUCAUUGGGCAGCAAGAGAAGGACAAUCCGAGAACUUUUCAUGAGACUUUCCACAUUCCGCAUGAAAUGAUGGCCGGUCACGGACAGUUAGAGAUAGUGAGCAUUAAAGUCUGGACUUCCUGAUAACAGACUAAAACAUUUUAAGUGCUUCAUAUUAUUGGAGCCAACUAACUGCUUCUUUUUUUGGAGCAUAUUAUUUAAUUUUCCCUUUUCCGUUAGUAAAUUAUGUGCUUAGUGUUUGAUGUUUGUGCAUGGGGAAAGACCAAAACAAGUUGAAUACAUUCCUUGUGGCAGCUAUUACUGGCCGGCAAUUUCACCGCAAACAAAACCCAGCCGUGUCUCUAUUUUUCCUAAUUGUUUUAUUUAUCAAAAUGUAGCUUUUUGCGCCAAUUGUAAUACUGGAAUAAAUUGUAAAUUGUUAAUUUUUUAUAUUCAUUGAAUUAAAAGAUUUAUUUAUGGAAUUAAUCAUUAAAUAAAAUAUUUACAUAUUUUCCUA